CUCCCUCUCGGCGGCCUUCCCAACAGCCGCCCUGGCAACCGCCAGGAGGCUACUGGCCUCAGUCCUACCUGCCUCAGCCCUUCUAGACUCUUAAGAGUCACGAAAUCACCGAGUCUGACAUACAUGUAGACGUAACCCAGAUAUGAGAGGGAUGACACUGGAGCUGCGAGCUCGAGAACGAGAGAAAAGCAUCACCAGUAGAAGGAACAUAAGCAAAGGUGGGGCAGGAGAAAGAGAGAAUCUCACAGGCACAGAGCCCGAUGAGCUUGAUCUCAUGACCAUGAGAUGAUGACCUAAGCCAAAAUCAAGACUCCAUCGCUUAACCGACUGAGCUACCCAGUUAUCUUCAUCCAAGCCAUUGGCUUUCAAGGCCUGUGGUUGUUCUGUUCAACAUAGUAGCCUGUGGACAUCUAUGGCUGUUGAACCCUUGAAACGUGGCUAGCACAAAUUGUGAUGAACUCUGAUGAUAAAGUACACACCAGAUUUCAAAGUCUUCGCAUGAAAAAAGGAAUGAAAAAAUUUGGUUAAUAAUUUUACAUUGAUCCCAUGUGUAAGUCAUAGUAUUUUGAAUA